rnacentral:rRNA from 1 species
UGCUCCUAGUACGAGAGGACCGGAGUGGACGCAUCACUGGUGUUCGGGUUGUCAUGCCAAUGGCACUGCCCGGUAGCUAAAUGCGGAAGAGAUAAGUGCUGAAAGCAUCUAAGCACGAAACUUGCCCCGAGAUGAGUUCUCCCUGACUCCUUGAGAGUCCUGAAGGAACGUUGAAGACGACGACGUUGAUAGGCCGGGUGUGUAAGCGCAGCGAUGCGUUGAGCUAACCGGUACUAAUGAACCGUGAGGCUUAACCUU